GAAAAUAGUAAGGUAAUGAAAUUCAUUAUCAACUCGGAUCAUGAGGUUCAAACAGGGCACAUUCCGCAUAAACUGAUAACAUAUAGGCCUCCAGACAUAUCAACAGCUUCAAAUACAAGGUACAUUGCUUUUUACGAGUAUGCUAGUGAUAUCAAUGAGCCUACGCACCUAUAUAUCAAUGGAAAAUCGUAUGAAGCACCCGUGACGGAGAUGCCAAAAGUAGGGACUAGUGAGAUUUGGAACAUCAUCAAUCUAACUGAAGAUAAUCAUCCAUUGCACAUACAUUUAGGUCUAUUUGUUGUGUUGGAACAAAUAGAAUUGGUGAAUGUUGAAGAGUUUAAAGGUUGUAUGAUGAAAUUAAAUGAUGCAAUGAAGUGCAAAAUUGAUAAGUAUUCACAUGGAAAAAGGACUAAAGUGGUUAUUCAUGAGAAAGGGUGGAAAAAUGUGUAUAAAAUGAUGCCUGGAUAUGUUACAAAAAUAUUUGUGAAAUUUUCUUUGAUUCAUUCAAAUGAAUCAUAUCCAUUUGAUGCAACAGCAGAGCCUGGCUAUGUUUAUCAUUGUCAUAUUCUUGAUCAUGAAGAUAAUGUCAUGAUGAGGCCUUUAAAGUUUG
rnacentral:misc_RNA from 1 species